rnacentral:lncRNA from 1 species
GUCAAGAUGAAAAACUUCAUCUAAUGGAAUCCAGCUUGAAAGCAACUCAAGAGCAGCUAACUGAGCAAAGAGCAGCAAUAGUUCGUCAAGAACAGAACAGCACAAAAUCACAGGCAGAGCUGAAGACAGUGAGAGAACGUAUUAUUGCUUCUGCAGAAGAAAUUAAUGAUUACAACUCAAAGGUUGAAUUUAUGAAAAAUAUUAAUGAAAUUAUGGGAGGACAGAGCCAACUUAAGAAUGGGGUGCAUUGGAUACCUUACCUCUAUAGAAAAUACAAUUCAGAAGUCAAAAUCAGAAAACAAAAACAUUUAGCGCAAGAUAAUUUCAUAGAGAGAACAGAUAAGGUCAUCAAAGAAAAUACCUACAUUUAGAACAUGGGAAACUGGAAAAAUUGUACUGUUACUUGAAGAAAUAAUUAAGUAAGAAUGAACACCAAGUUUUGGAGUAAAGACAGCAAGUAAAUUUGUAUAUGUUGGUUUUUAGUUGCUGAUGGGUCAUCUUGGCAGGGAUAACCUUGACACAGAGCAACUUCAGUAAAAUCUUGAGGUUACCUAUAUUGUUAGGCUAAGACUGGUAAAUAUCCUUAAUUUUAUGUAUGACUUGGUUAUAUCAUAUAUAAUUUGUAUUAGUCAUUUUAAAGAUCUUUUCUCAUUUUUAGCUUAUAAUACUUGUUCAUUUUAG